rnacentral:misc_RNA from 1 species
GAUGAAGAACGUAGCGAAAUGCGAUAAGUAGUGUGAAUUGCAGAAUUCAGUGAAUCAUCGAAUCUUUGAACGCACAUUGCGCCCCUUGGUAUUCCAUGGGGCAUGCCUGUUCGAGCGUCAUUUGUACCUUCAAGCUGUGCUUGGUGUUGGGUGUUUGUCUCGCCUCUGCGUGUAGACUCGCCUUAAAACAAUUGGCAGCCGGCGUAUUGAUUUCGGAGCGCAGUACAUCUCGCGCUUUGCACUCAUAACGACGACGUCCAAAAGUACAUUUUUACACUCUUGACCUCGGAUCAGGUAGGGAUACCCGCUGAACUUAAGCAUAUCAAUAAGCGGAGGA